CAAAUGAAAACUACAAGUUCAUAAACAGCAAAUUUCCACCAUUUGUUUCUUCUUGCUUCCUCUGAAGUAACAAACAUUUUUCUGCUGUAAAGAAGUAAAAUAAUAAAUGCUAUAGGAGAAAUUGCUCAAGAAAAUGGCAUCAGGCAAACGAAGCGCAAACUAAGCAAUUCAAGGGAUAUCUCCCAAGCAAGAUUUCUGUCAGAGUUUAGACAUAUGCUGAAAAUAAUGAAAGAUAUUUGGAUUUAUGGAAUUCACAAACAGAAUGCCACAGCACAUAUUUUACAUCUUUUGCGAAAUGUGUGAAAGCAAUAGUGUGGAAUUAGUAGGAUAGUUCUUGUUGAGAAUAAUGAUGAAGUUCGACAUAGAAUAGAAGAAGUGUCAGAUAAACUGGUCUCCCAUCAUCGUAUUUUUAGUUAGAAUCAGACAGAAAACACAAAAAAAAACUUACUUUCAGUGCUGACCUGACAACGAGCGAUUUCUUGGCUACGAGGCUUUCGAAUUUGGUAGCGUUUUUGGAUUCACAGACCACCCCUGCUGCUUCUGAAGCUGAACAG